UACGUAGGGUGCAAGCGUUUGUCCGGAAUUAUUGGGCGUAAAGAGCUCGUAGGUGGUUUGUCGCGUUGUUCGUGAAAACUCACAGCUUAACUGUGGGCGUGCGGGCGAUACGGGCAGACUGGAGUACUGCAGGGGAGACUGGAAUUCCUGGUGUACGCGGUGGAAUGCGCAGAUAUCAGGAGGAACACCGGUGGCGAAGGCGGGUCUCGUGGGCAGUAACUGACGCUGAGGAGCGAAAGCGUGGGGAGCGAACAGG
rnacentral:rRNA from 1 species